GUCAAGACAGUCACUAAGGAGACCCAAGCAUUAAUGGAAAAUGAGCCACACGUAGAUGGCGCUGGGCACUGCACUGUGUCUUUAAUCCUCUGGCCACCAGCUGGGCAGCGGUAUGUCCACCACACAGAUAUGCCACAGCACUGUGACCAAUACCAGAGGGAAGUGGCAGGCAUGGCUUUUGGCCAAAGCCCUGUCACCCACGGGGCGUCACGCCCCGCACUCGGAACACUGAGACGAUGAUUUCACUCAAUGACCAAUGCUGCGCCUCCUCACUCCAAAAGGAAUUGAGAUGCCCCACAGAGGCUCCAUAAAGCCAGGUAGAAAACCCAGCACAAUCCCCUAAGAAUCUGUGUGCGGGUGACUGCUGGAGACCUGUGCCAAGUGCCCAGCAGACAAAGUGGCAAGGUCCAUAGUGUCCAUGAGGAAACAAGCGGGAGAGAGGAGGGGCCCUGCCAAGUACUCCAUCAAGUCCCGCCUCCUCCACGGUGUCCUGCCUGAGCUGCAUCACAGGUGACCCCUCCUGCUCGAAGUAAGCACGGCACACACUGCAAAGGACAGAGAGGGGACCCGCUGGCAUGACACAUCCUGAGAAGGACAUUACAGGAGCCAAAGAAGAGAGUGGGCAAGGCCAGUCCUGGGGAGAGCCAGAAGCUGGGUCUGUGGGACCAGAUGCAGGAUGGGUGUUGGGCUGGUCUGAAAAGCAGAGACCGGGGAGGCUGGGAUUUCUGGUCUGGACAACAGGAUGGAGGGCAGUGCUGUCCCAGGGACAGAGGCUCCUGAGAAAGGGAACGAGGUGGUUGGGCCUGGGUAGGAAAGGCCAAGUGAGUAGCAUAGAGAAGCUGGAUACGUGGGCCACAGUGGGCGCUGGCGAGAUGUGUCUGAAAAUGGCCAGGGAGAAAAUACCCGCAGCGUUCCAGGCCACAGAGUCUCUGUAAAUCCUGUCCUCUCUGCUGCGGCAGCUGGAAAUGGCCACAGGUGGUGUGGAGCCCUGCUGCAGCUGGGCCUCACGAGCCCCAUCGACAGAGGGAGCUGGACUUGGCUCUCGGGGCAGAGCGUGCAGACCCUGGUCUGGACCAGCAGGGAGAUGUCUGGAUGGGAGAUGGCAUAUUGCAAAAAGCAACGCAAACCCAGCAGCACCCCGCCAGCAACAAAGCUGAGCGCUUAUCCCCACGUUGCUGAGACAGGUCACGUGGGAAGACGUGCACACUUGAGGCAUCCAAUCAUUGCUGUGCCAGAAGAGCAGGAGCUUCCUAGGCAGAACUUCUAUCUUGGUCUCCUAUUCAAGUCAUGUGGAGUGAGAAGACAGCCUGCAAGGGCCACCCAGAAAGGAGGGGACCCCAACACCAGGCCAAACAAGAGCAGGAUGGGCCUGAGGUAUCUGGGUGAUAAUUAGGAAAGUGCUGGGAUAUUGGUGCCUGAAAGGUGGGUGUGUCGGUCAGCUUUCCAUCUCUGUCACAAACACCUGAGAGCAGCAGCUAAUGAAGAGAAAAGGUUGUUCUUGCUCACAGUGUUGGAGGUUCCAAUCCAUGGCCAAUUGCCUCCUUCUUUGGGCCUGUGUGGAACAGCAAAUCAUGGUAGGAGGGUGUGGCAGAGCUAAGCCUCCCACCUCUUGGCUGGAAAGCAAAAGGGGAAGGAGGAAGGGGCUAGGGUCCCUCUAUCUCCUCCAAGAACAUCAGUGACCUGAAGACCUCCCACGGAACCCCACCUGCUAAAAGUUCCACCACCUCCCUUAACACUUGGGCCUUUGAGAACAUUCAAGAUCCGAACCAUAGCAGCUGGUCAUGGGGGCUGCUCAGUCUGCUCAGCCACAGAGAAGGUCAGGACCUGAUGACUCCCGUAUAGAAGGCCCGCACCAUAGAUUUGCUGCCUUCUAGAGAGGGCGAGCGGCCUUGCCUCUGCCAUGUCUGUGACAGGGCUGAGUCUGUCUGUCCAGGAAGACAGGGAUGCAGAGAAAUACUGGGCAUAUGCCCCUUUUAUGUAAAUCGCAUCGUAGCGUCAAAGUAGACAUGAUUGUCACUGUGACUCAUGUUCUGGGCCUCACCUUAGACUUCAGCCUCUGAUGUGAACAUUGCCCAGGGGCUGGGGCUCACCUGGUGCUAACACCGUGCCCAGGCUCUCCUCCCCGUGGAGGGGCACACCCCUGCAGGAAUGUUCUCUAGCCUCCAAGUUCAAUCACAGCAGACACAGAGGAGGGUGAGCAGCCCAGGGCACCCCCAAGGAAGGAGGGGAGGUGGGAGCCGAGGGCCCCUGUCCUUCCUGCUGGCAAUUUCAGGAAGCACCCUGUGGUUCUCAGCUGGCACUGGAGGGACGGCACAGAACUGCCCGCUGCAGCGACCUCAGUAACAGGUCCACGUUGACAUUGCUUUCUUUCCUGUUCCCUCUCUCCAGCCUCCUGAGGCCACCUGACAAAUAACCAUCCAGGUACAAGUCCCUUUGCAACCCUUUCUCCUUUCAGGGACUCCAGCUGGACACUGUCUCUGGAACAGUGAUGUCCUCUCACUCCAGGCCCCCAGCGUUGGUGCAAUGCUUCCUGAACUGCUGGGCUCCCUCUACGCUCCUGACUCUGGGAAACUCCUAUGUCCCUUCACAAGCUGCAAGUCUCACGGGAGAAGCCACCAUACACUCACCGCCACUCCCCUCUGGAAAACAGGGAACAAACAUGGUCACAAGCCAGACGCAGAUGCUGAUUCCUUAACUCAACUCAAGAUGUCAUUUUGCAUCAGCUGGAGUAAGCUCACUUAUUCUGGGCAACAAACAAUGCAAGAAGCUUUGUGUCCUACGCUCACGAGUUCUACUUCUCUUUUACCCUUGGUGUCCAUAGUGGGCAGAUGAGGGGCUCUGCCCUAUGCGGUCCUCACCCAGUCCAGGCUCACAGAGCAUCCGCUGAUUUAUGGCCAUGAUUGACAGGGGGGACACAGGCCAAUUGCUCACUGGCUCUUAAUGUCCCCACCCAGACAUAACAUCUGUCACCUUUACUUGCAUGUCAUUGACCUAACCAGUCCCUUGGCCACACUUAAAGAAGGUCAGGAAGAGCUAUCUUCCCAGAGGACAGAGCGCUGCAAGUACUUGGUUUAAAACAAAGCCAGCAACUGCCCGCCUCACUGACUACACCUCCAGGCCCCAGAAGAGAGGCUUCUGAACCUCUCCAGGGCACGAGGGACGCUAAGUGGGUAUUAGUUGCACAAUAGGUUUUUUUGCUACCUUAAAGCACAAACUGUCGUUCACAUUUUGGUUACCUCCAGUCCAUCUUUUCUAUCUUAGUAAUAUUGCCUUGCCUUGUGCACAUGUAUUUUUAAAUGUCUAGUAGCAUUUUAGUUACAUAAAUGUGUGCAUCUAUUUUAUUUUUAGUGUUUGAUUAAUUAAAUUAAAUUUGUAUGUCAA